UCGAGAGAGAGUCGAAACCCUAGCGUCGCUUCCCCUUUGGUCUGCCUGCGAAGACCCGAGAAGGCGAAAAACCGUGAAAUCUUUUAAUCCCUCUACCAUAUGAUAAAUCUCAAGCUUUUCGAUUUCUCUGCACUCUCCUACUUCCCCUAUCUCGUUUUCGCAGAAAAAAAUAAAUUCGUUGUUUGGGCAGCCAAGAGUUUUUACAAAAUAAGGUGAAGAGAAAAUCAAGAGGUUUCAGAUCUAUUACUGGUUAUAAUUGAUUAGUUUGCUUUCCCAUUUUUUUUAAUUUCUGAGAUGAUGAACCCAACACUACCAAUGCGUCCGUUUAGAGAAGGAUCCAAACCCAACGGCGAGAUAGUUUAAUUUUACAGUGAGCUAUCGCUCAUAGACGAAAUCGCAAACAGUUUAGAUGCUGAAGAAAUGGAAAUUCUGAAGAAAUCCCAGUUUGGGAAAGUAUUUGAUAAGCCAGAGGGAGUGGCAUAUUCUGGGAAACUAAUUCAUUUUUUGCUAACGAGACAGCUUGUCGUUAGAAAAAAAAAUGAAAUCUGGUUCAUUUUUUCUGGUUCGCCGAUUCGCCUUCAAUUUCAGAGUUUGAAAGACUCACAGGCUUAAACUGUAGCAAACCCCCACAUGUCAAAGAGAGAAAGAGCAAAUGCAAACUUAUGCCUGGGAAGUAUUGGUACAAGCUAUUUGAUCGCGCUGACGUUUCUGUUAAGUGGGUUGUUGGUCGGUUGAAGAAGCAUUUGGUACAAGACCAAGAUAUGCGAUUGCGGUACGCUAUUCUUGCUCUCAUAUAUGGCGUCUUGUGCCCAACUUCAGGUAGAAGCAAAAUAUCUCCGGUUCAUGCAGAGAUGUCAGAAAAUCUUGAAAACUUUCUAAAUCACCCUUGGGGUACGAUAUCAUUCAUGUUGACACUAAAGAGCAUUACAACAAGGGGAGCAUAUAAGUUAAUGAGGAAACCAGCAACUAUCCAAGGAUUCCCUCAUGCGCUAACCCUGCUAUAGUUGCACUGUGUUCUUGUUAUUAGGGAGUUGCAAUUCCCUGAAGUUGACGAAGAAGGGGAUUCAUAGAUGGAGGAAAUUGACUUUGAAAUUGAGCGGCUAUGGAGUUUGAAGCUAGAUAUAGUGUGGAAAGUGGAUAAGAAGUCCCUGAGCAAUGUCGUAUCUAUUCUAAGUGGAGAAGUGAAUGGUGACCUUUUCUUGAGUGGAUGGCUGGAGGACGCAGAUGAUCCUGGUGUUGACCACCUUCUCCAACUUGUAAGCGAGCAUCAUAAAUUUACUGCUUCAAUGUUCUUUUGACGGAUUGAUGUCUGAUUCUCUGCCUGACGAUAGUAACAACAGUAAUGUUUGUAGCACGCAUGACACCAUCGAUGAUGAAACUCUAGACCCUCCAAAUACCAUGGUUGGUUCUUCAAAAAACCGUAAAGGAAAAGACAAGUUGCACAUUUCUGACGCGCUGAAACACUGUGUUGACCUGAAAGACAAGAGAAUGCAGAACCUUGUGUUGAAGGCAAUUGCGGAUUCUGAGGCUCGUAUGACCAAUUUGUUUACAGAAGCUAUUAGAGCUGUUGGAAAUUCUAAUGUGUUCAAAUUUCUAGAGAAGUAGAUGGAUCUGCAGCGCAAUCAGGAAAUGAUGGCCGCAUUGGUCAGCAAGGAGUCUCAUCAUCUGCUGAUAUAGAAGCCACUAGAUCGCAUUCUGGCCAAGAGAACGCAACUGGAUUUCUUGAAUCUGUCUUAGGCUCAGUGUUAACAGAACUCAAUGAUGCGACAUCUCUACAGACAAAUCCUACUUGGCAGAGUGCUGUAGGAAGACAGGUUUGUGUUUCUUCUAGGUAACACAUUUACCACGGUUAUUGGCCCAGCAGUCUCCUUAUCUGAAGAUCUUGGUGUCAAUGGGGAUGGUGUUCGAGACCAAGCAAAGGGUAUAAGAUACUGAUGGACCUGCAGCUGCAGCUAAAAAUGUUGUCCCUAAGUGAGAUCACCGCAGCACAGAUGCAUCCGAAAUUAGUUUUUUCCCCUGUUCUAAAAAUCGGCCGCCUAGACACUGACCGGGUGGAGACCGCGGCGAUUUUGUCCAAAUCGGUAAAAUAAAUCCGUGAUCCGAUUUUUGUCCGCCUAGACCGCCUAGACGUCCUCUUAGCCCAUAUCUAUAUGUCUUUUUCCCAACAAGUAUAGCUUAGACCUUCUAAGUAAUGAGUUUCCGGGUUGUUUGCCUCCAAAGCCUCUUCAAAUUAUUUUCCAGAAUAAGCCGUCAAUCCGCAUGUAGACAGGAUGCUGCCUAUACUCUCUCAUUUUACCCCUAAUUCUAGUGAAUCAGUCGUUUUGCCUAAGUAUUUUUGGUGAAUGGAUAUCGGAAUAGGUUGGUUGGCAACGAAAUAUAGAUAUGUUGUAUUUAAAUAGAGGGCAACCAAGUAUGUUAAUGUAUACAUGCAUUUAUGGAUACUAGUGUAUGAGUGGAAAGGCAGGUACAAACGUCAUCAAAGCUAUCCCUCCAUCGCAUUAAUUCUCUCCUAGUGGUUGAGGAAUCUCAUGUGUUUUCUUCCUAUGGCAUUGGUUGUUUAAUAACUCUGUGUUUUUUUUUUUGUUUUUUCUAUGGUGGAGUUUUGUCUAAAGAACCGUUGUCAAUAUUAACAACAUUGUAUUUUGAUUAAACACAUGCGUUGCUAUUUAAUAUCAAGGGUAUGCAUACAAAUAGGAGUAUUCUUACUUUAUCUACAGAGAAACACCAAAAAAAAAAAACAAAAAGCCAACACCGGCUGGAACAGGUUCUACUUGAGUGCAUCAGUCCAUAGCUUAAGGCGCUACCCUCGAAACAAGGUCUCUAUGCUACUAUGUACAUAAACCAAGUAGCCUUCCUUCUAGAUAUAACUCAAUUCUUGGUGAACUUCCCCUUCAUUAAAAACCAUAACUUACUACAGCCCAUGCAA